UACGUAGGGUGCGAGCGUUAAUCGGAAUUACUGGGCGUAAAGCGUGCGCAGGCGGUUUUGUAAGCCGGAUGUGAAAUCCCCGGGCUUAACCUGGGAAUGGCAUUCGGGACUGCAAGGCUGGAGUGCGGCAGAGGAGACUGGAAUUCCUGGUGUAGCAGUGAAAUGCGUAGAUAUCAGGAGGAACACCGAUGGCGAAGGCAGGUCUCUGGGCUGGCACUGACGCUCAUGCACGAAAGCGUGGGGAGCAAACAGG
rnacentral:rRNA from 1 species